GAAGAUGUUGAUGAAGAGGAUGAAUUUCGCAUUGGAGAUUGGGAAGAAGAUGGAGAACAGAGUCCACAAACAACGAAAUAUUACAUCCACAUAUGGUGGCAUAUCAUCAUCAUCAAGUACAUACUGCUACGUAGCAAAAUUUAUUCUAUGUACAAAAAUUCAUGUAAUGGUGACAGAAACUUUGACUGUUAUCAAAAUGAGAUUUCUGCUUUU